rnacentral:lncRNA from 1 species
UGAGCUCAGUCAAUUGCAAAUCAGUGGCUAACGAUCGGUAUAACCCAGGCGUCGAAGUGGAUUCUGACUCUACGCAUGCCUAUAUCAGUCCCCAGAUAUGGCGCCUCUCUUACUCUAAUGCGGGAAACUUACCGGUUCGCAUUUCAGAAUCUCCAAUUGGUUCACAAGAGUUCAUAACUAGCAUUCGACAAGAGUUCAUAACUAGCAUUCGACAACCGUGAACAUUUACAUCGAUCGGAGUAGGUCAAGAGAGAGUGAAAAAAAGACAAAUGGACUAGAUUGAGACAUCUUACCUCGCAACAUUCAUCAUUGAGGUGAUAAAGAAAAAAGGCGAGAUGACGAGGACGAUGAGACUGAACACAUCGUCUUUCAGACUGAACACAUCGUCUUUCAAUGUUUCUUUAUACAUGACCGAGACAUACACGUAGAGUCAUUGCGCGCAUCUUCUUCUCCACACGUACUCCGCGAUAUGGAGCCUGCACCGGAAAGACCCCGCGUGGCCCGUGGGCGAGCACAUGCACCGCCUCAUCACGCCGCCCCUGCUGCCGGCCUCAGGUGCCGCCUCCCUAGCCAGCACACCUGCCUCCGCUGUCGAACUGAUGCCCGUCACCGGCGAGACCUGCCAUCUCGAAGGCCGAGCCGGGUCCCCGAGGGAGGAAACUGGAACGUUCGGGUGGCACAUAUUGGCAACGCAAAGCCCUAGCAGCCAACGGGCCAGCAAAGAAUCUCUGUUGUUAUAUGGGAGGGGAGGGGGGUGGAGAAAGGGGAUCGGAAAGAAACGAAUAUGUGCAGUUGCGGAAUGAUGUAGCGGCAGAAGAAAGCGAAUGAGAAUGGGUGCUAGGUAAAGUUUCGGAAUCAAGUGCUUUAGUUUCGUCCAUCUUCUCCUUUGAUUCCCGGGAGAAUUCUGCCGCUUUCUAUUGGCUUUUCAACGAAGGGUUGUGAGAGGCCAGCGAGUCACAUCUAAGGACGCGAUGCUCGCCCAAGAACAACUUGAUCAAACGCAUCUCAGUUUUUGCCUUGACUUGAAAGAUCUUAGUUCGAACACUUAAGGUAGUGAGCGCCCACCAUCUUCGGCCAAGUGCUCCUAUGCGAGGUCGAUUUCUGUGGCCGACGAUUUUGUACAAAGAUUCGUUUUAAUAUGAGGCCUAAAUAUG